UGGGCAACCUGUCUCUAGCUCUGGGAUAACUCCGGGAAACCGGGGCUAAUACCGGAUACGACCUCGAGCGGCAUCUAUCGAGGUGGAAAGUUUUUCGGCUAGAGAUGGGCCCGCGGCCUAUCAGCUUGUUGGUGAGGUAACGGCCCACCAAGGCGACGACGGGUAGCCGGCCUGAGAGGGCGACCGGCCACACUGGGACUGAGACACGGCCCAGACUCCUACGGGAGGCA
rnacentral:rRNA from 1 species